rnacentral:piRNA from 1 species
CUGUGUAGUCGGAGAUGUAGGCUUA